AUUGAACGCUGGCGGCAGGCCUAACACAUGCAAGUCGAGCGAGCGGCGGACGGGUGAGUAAUGUCUGGGGAACUGCCCGAUGGAGGGGGAUAACUACUGGAAACGGUAGCUAAUACCGCAUACUAUCAGCUGCACCCAUAUGGGAUUAGCUAGUAGGUGGGGUAAUGGCUAACCGCGGCGACGAUCCCUAGCUGGUCUGAGAGGAUGAUCAGCCACACUGGGACUGAGACACGGGCCAGACUCCUACGGUAGGCAGCAGUGGGGAAUAUUGCACAAUUGGCGCAAGCCUGAUGCAGCCAUGCCGCGUGUGUGAAGAAGGCCUUAGGGUUGUAAAGCACUUUCAGCGAGGAGGCGUUACUCGCAGAAGAAGCACCGGCUAACUCCGUGCCAGCAGCCGCGGUAAUUC
rnacentral:rRNA from 1 species